AUACCUUUCUCGGCCUUUUGGCUAAGAUCAAGUGUAGUAUCUGUUCUUAUCAGUUUAAUAUCUGAUAUGUGGGCCAUGUGCCCACAACGAUAUUAAAUUUAUUUUUUAUGGGGGAGGGUCCAUCACAGUGGCUUGCCACUGGGGCCCUCAUGUGUUCCCUGGACGUUGCACUACUGUCCAGGCGUGGCGCACCCCAA
rfam:Triticum aestivum genome assembly, contig: Triticum_aestivum_CS42_TGACv1_scaffold_195968_3AL